rnacentral:rRNA from 1 species
AUACGUAGGGUGCAAGCGUUAAUCGGAAUUACUGGGCGUAAAGCGUGCGCAGGCGGUUUUGUAAGACAGAGGUGAAAUCCCCGGGCUCAACCUGGGAACUGCCUUUGUGACUGCAAGGCUAGAGUACGGCAGAGGGGGAUGGAAUUCCGCGUGUAGCAGUGAAAUGCGUAGAUAUGCGGAGGAACACCGAUGGCGAAGGCAAUCCCCUGGGCCUGUACUGACGCUCAUGCACGAAAGCGUGGGGAGCAAACAGGAUUAGAUACCCUGGUAGUCCACGCCCUAAACGAUGUCAACUGGUUGUUGGGUCUUCAUUGACUCAGUAACGAAGCUAACGCGUGAAGUUGACUGCCUGGGGAGUACGGCCGCAAGGUUGAAACUCAAAUGAAUUGACGGGG